AUGCAGCUGAGGAUUGUCCGGUUCAGCAUUAUUUUUAUAUUUGUGAAAAAAAAUGCACAUCCAACGCUGCGUUGUCCCGUUCUUAAGCUCCCUAAGCCUCAUGCUUUUGUUUCGGGAGUGGAUGCCGAAGAGACUUAUUUUGCUCAGUUACCUGAUUGUGUUAUGAAAGAUCACCUGACACCGGCUCAGACUCCUAUCGCUUGUGUUCGAGUUGCCAGUGUGAUGGUGCCUGCGGACAUUAUUGAGAACCAGAUUGCGAGGAGAUGCCCGGUUCUGACUCAGUGGAAGUGGGAGGCCAUACAACAUGGAGAGGAUGUCUAUCUUGUUAGAUUCCCCAAUUUUGAGGAUUUGAACAGAGUUGACGAUAUUAAGAUGAAUGUGCCUUCAGUUAAUGCCAGAUCAUCAUUUCUGCAUGGAAAUCUCAGGAGAUCCCACAUAAGUUGGAACUCAAGCAAGUUUGGCUUCAUGUUGACGGUGUCCCUCACACGGUUCGACACAUUUGGGGCCUCUGGGCAGUUGGCACUUUAA
rnacentral:rRNA from 1 species